rnacentral:rRNA from 1 species
CGAGGGGUGCAAGCGUUGCUCGGAAUUAUUGGGCGUAAAGGGUAGGUAGGUGGUCUCAUUUGUCAGGGGUGAAAGCCUUGGGCUUAACCUAAGAAGUGCCCCUGAAACGGUGAGACUGGAGUCCUGGAGAGGGUCGUGGAAUUCCCGGUGUAGCGGUGAAAUGCGUAGAGAUCGGGAGGAACACCAGAGGCGAAGGCGGCGACCUGGACAGGUACUGACACUCAACUACGAAAGCGUGGGGAGCAAACAGGAUUAGAUACCCUGGUAGUCCACGCUGUAAACGAUGGGUACUAGGUUUGGCGGGUCUUGACCCCUGCUGAGCCGGCGCUAACGCAAUAAGUACCCCGCCUGGGAAGUACGGUCGCAAGACUA